rnacentral:miRNA from 1 species
AAGAGGACGUUCGCUCGGGCAC